rnacentral:misc_RNA from 1 species
GUAAAGGUAUUCUGUCUCCAUGGUCCAUGGUCACGGAGUCACGGACAAUUUUCCUUCAAUACCGCCAAAAUUUUUUAUUUUUAUAAAUACGUUUGUUUCCCUAACCUUUUCAAAUAAAUUUGAUUCCCAAUAUUUACUCUAUGAUUUUGAAUGAAGAAAAAUGGACGAAAAUCCAAAUUUUGAAGAAAUGAAAAAAAUUGUAGAAGAUGCUGGCAUGUAUGAAGAAAACAUGUCAAAAGAAGACAUUCAAUCUAUUGGUAAUCUGUUAACCAAGUCUAAGGAGGAAGUCGAAUUUAAGAAAAUGAAUGAGAAUCAAGAAAUUGAUGUAGAAGAGGACACUAACUUGGAGCAACUCAAAGUAUUUGAACCCAAAACAUCAGGUUGUAGUAAACCAAGUAUUGAAUCUGAACAAAUUGACGAAUAUGAUUCGGAUGAUUUAUAUAGCGAAUCAUUAGAUUCAGUGAAAGAUGCCACCAAGCAUAGUUUUGGUUUUAAUGAUAUGCCCAAGAGUACUGAAAUUAGUUUGCAAUGCAUACCCCAUGAAUUAAAAUUUGUACCUAUCCAAAGUUCCCAAAGAUUUUUAAACGCUGAUUGUUUGCUGAAAGCUAAAACUCUCUAUUCAUAUCAUACCAAAAUUGAUCUAUCAAGAGUUAUAUUAGCUAAAAAGUCAUUUUAUCCUGCUCCGUUGAAAGAUCCCAUUAGCACAAACCAGUCUCUAACUAAUACUUCAGAUAACAAAGGAGAUAAGGAAGAUACUUAUAUCAGUCGUUCAGGCCGUCAAACUAAAAGAAAGGUUUAUUAUGAUCAAGAUGAAGAUAGCUUGGAUGGAGUUACUUCCAUCAAAAAGACAAAAGGUUCCGAAGACCAAGAACGGCCCUCCAAAAUAAAAACUCCAACUAGGAAAACUGAGAAAAGAACUGAGGAUAAAUAUAAGGAGGAUUAUCAAAAUAUUAACGUAAAUGAACAAGAACCGGAAUUGACCCCAAAGAUAAGUGAGAAUUCUAAAUCAAGUGCAAAGUUAAAAAGGCUAUCAAAUGUAGAAAUCAUGAAGAGGUCUUCUUUGUUUGCGGAUUCUUCUCCUCGACUCAACAGAACUGAAGCUAUUUUCGACAAAUUGGUAGAGGAAAAAAAUAAGAAAGAUAUCGAAGAGAAAGUUAUGGAAUCAUUUCAAAGAUCUUUGAAUGCUAUAUCCAAGGAAUCUGAGAAAACUGAUGAAGUUAUAAAUGUGGAUGAGGAGGAACCUAUUAGAAGAGUAGUACCUCCUCCGCCUAUUUUAAAGGGACGAAAACCUAUAAAUAGUCGAAAGAAGAAACCUAGUAGCAAAUGUUGAGCCUUUGAAUAUAAAAAAGACCAACAAAAAUAGUUCUCCUGUGAAAAGUCCUGUUGCAAGUUCCAGUCAAGCGUCCAGUGAAAGUUCAGAGACAUUUUCAAUCCCAAAAAAUAUUGUUUCUACCAGAAGGAUUUCACAAGUCCAGACAACUGAAAGUUUAUCUCCUAGAAGUAGAAGUAGAGAUCUUCCUGUUUCAAACAGUGUAUCUUGUCCUAUAUGUGGAGAUAAUUUCCAUAAAAAUAAAAUAGUGGAACAUGCAUCAACGUGUGGAGAUGACCAGAUUGAACAUACAUCUCCUCAGAAACAAUCAAGAAUUUCCUGUGAAAUAUGUGAUGCCGUCAUACCAUUUUCUACUGAAUAUGAAGUACAUGUUAAAGAAUGUCUAAAUCGAAGAAAGGAAAAAGAUCUAGCGGAUCACUAAUUAAAUUGUGUUGAGUCAAGUGUACAGUGUAAAUAAAAAUAUUUCCCAAAUGUUAAUUGCAA